ACAGUUGUAUGGAAGAAAUUGGGGUUCCUUCACAAAUUUGAUUUUUUACUAAUAAAUAAUAAGAUUCUGGGCACUUAUUAAUGCAUGGCCAAAACAUUCAUCUAUGCACAAAUGAUGCUCAUGAAGGCCAACUAUGCACAAAUAGAUGUUCAUAGGCUUAAAUAUGCAUGAUGAUGCUGGUGAUGCGUAUCGUGGUGAAGGUGUUGUGUAUAACAUGUGUUUUCUCAGAAAUUUGAAUUAGGCGGUUGAAUCUCCAAAAGUGAAGGUUUGAGAACAAGGUAUGUGCUAUAAGUUUCAUAAAGGCCACAUAUGAGAAAUUUGAUACGCUUGGAAGUUGGAUGGUGGGAUCUUUGGUAGAGCAUCGGCCAAAGCUAUUUUGGAGUUGGAUUUGAAAUUUGAUCGAUCGUCUACUCGAUUUUGGAACAUCCUCUACUCAAAAUCGGAAGAAGUGCUGUGAGUGGAAGGUAUUCAACUUGAAAAGGGCUGCCACUAGUAUGUUGGUCAAGAUUUAAAUUCUUAUAUAAAAUUUAUUUUUAUUUGCUUCACAAGUGAUUAUCAACAGGAGGGAGUUUUAACACUUGGUUCAAAAUCUGAGGUAUUUUUAACCUUAACUCUUAGAAAUUUGGAGUUAGCUUUGAUUUGCUUCUUAAUCACCCUGUUGAUUAUUUGAUUUAGGUUCUUAAUUACUCGGGCUGUCACAAAAACGGUCCUAGAAACUAGCCCUCCGAGAGAUCAUGUCCAUUGAACCAGCAAUGCCUAUGUUCCUCAAGUGGUCUGAGGUGCCAAUUACCCUUUCAAGAAAGGAUCAAUGGAUUAGUUUCU
rnacentral:lncRNA from 1 species